rnacentral:rRNA from 1 species
GGUUAAGCGACUAAGCGUACACGGUGGAUGCCCUGGCAGUCAGAGGCGAUGAAGGACGUGCUAAUCUGCGAUAAGCGUCGGUAAGGUGAUAUGAACCGUUAUAACCGGCGAUUUCCGAAUGGGGAAACCCAGUGUGUUUCGACACACUAUCAUUAACUGAAUCCAUAGGUUAAUGAGGCGAACCGGGGGAACUGAAACAUCUAAGUACCCCGAGGAAAAGAAAUCAACCGAGAUUCCCCCAGUAGCGGCGAGCGAACGGGGAGCAGCCCAGAGCCUGAAUCAGUGUGUGUGUUAGUGGAAGCGUCUGGAAAGGCGCGCGAUACAGGGUGACAGCCCCGUACACAAAAAUGCACAUACUGUGAGCUCGAUGAGUAGGGCGGGACACGUGGUAUCCUGUCUGAAUAUGGGGGGACCAUCCUCCAAGGCUAAAUACUCCUGACUGACCGAUAGUGAACCAGUACCGUGAGGGAAAGGCGAAAAGAACCCCGGCGAGGGGAGUGAAAAAGAACCUGAAACCGUGUACGUACAAGCAGUGGGAGCACGCUUAGGCGUGUGACUGCGUACCUUUUGUAUAAUGGGUCAGCGACUUAUAUUCUGUAGCAAGGUUAACCGAAUAGGGGAGCCGAAGGGAAACCGAGUCUUAACUGGGCGUUAAGUUGCAGGGUAUAGACCCGAAACCCGGUGAUCUAGCCAUGGGCAGGUUGAAGGUUGGGUAACACUAACUGGAGGACCGAACCGACUAAUGUUGAAAAAUUAGCGGAUGACUUGUGGCUGGGGGUGAAAGGCCAAUCAAACCGGGAGAUAGCUGGUUCUCCCCGAAAGCUAUUUAGGUAGCGCCUCGUGAAUUCAUCUCCGGGGGUAGAGCACUGUUUCGGCAAGGGGGUCAUCCCGACUUACCAACCCGAUGCAAACUGCGAAUACCGGAGAAUGUUAUCACGGGAGACACACGGCGGGUGCUAACGUCCGUCGUGAAGAGGGAAACAACCCAGACCGCCAGCUAAGGUCCCAAAGUCAUGGUUAAGUGGGAAACGAUGUGGGAAGGCCCAGACAGCCAGGAUGUUGGCUUAGAAGCAGCCAUCAUUUAAAGAAAGCGUAAUAGCUCACUGGUCGAGUCGGCCUGCGCGGAAGAUGUAACGGGGCUAAACCAUGCACCGAAGCUGCGGCAGCGACGCUGAUGCGUUGUUGGGUA